rnacentral:rRNA from 1 species
AUACGUAGGUGACAAGCGUUAUCCGGAUUUACUGGGCGUAAAGGGCGUGUAGGCGGUCUUGCAAGUCAGAAGUGUAAUUCCUGCGCUCAACUCGGGCGCUGCUUCUGAAACUGCAGGACUUGAGUGCUGGAGGGGAAAGCGGAAAUCCUAGUGGAGCGGGAAAAUGCGCAGAUAUUAGGACGAACACCGGUGGCGAAGGCGGCUAUCUGGACAGUAACUGACGCUGAGGCGCGAAAGCGUGGGGAGCAAACAGGAUUAGAUACCCUGUUAGUCCACGCCGUAAACGAUGAAUACUAGGUGUAGGGGGUAUCGACUCCCUCUGUGCCGCAGUUAACACAAUAAGUAUUCCGCCUGGGGAGUACGGCCGCAAGGUUGAAACUCAAAUGAAUUGGCGGGG